UACGAAGGGGGCUAGCGUUGUUCGGAAUUAUUGGGCGUAAAGGGCGCGUAGGCGGCAUGGCAAGUGGAAGGUGAAAUCCCUCGGCUCAACUGAGGAACUGCCCUCCAAACUGCUUUGCUUGAGUCCGGGAGAGGUGAGUGGAAUUCCCAGUGUAGCGGUGAAAUGCGUAGAUAUUGGGAGGAACACCAGUGGCGAAGGCGGCUCACUGGACCGGAACUGACGCUGAGGCGCGAAAGCGUGGGGAGCAAACGGG
rnacentral:rRNA from 1 species